GUGUCAGCAGCCGCGGUAAGACGUAGGAUGCAAGCGUUGUCCGGAAUUAUUGGGCGUAAAGAGUUCGUAGGCGGUUACUUAAGUCUGAUGUUAAAUACCAGAGCUCAACUCUGGCAUGGCAUUGGAAACUGGGUAGCUAGAGUGUGGUAGAGGUCACGGGAAUUCCUGGUGUAGCGGUGAAAUGCGUAGAUAUCAGGAGGAACACCGGUGGCGAAAGCGCGUGACUGGGCCAUAACUGACGCUGAGGAACGAAAGCCAGGGUAGCGAAAGGGAUUAGAUACCCCUGUAGUCC
rnacentral:rRNA from 1 species